GAUGAACGCUAGCGAUAGGCUUAACACAUGCAAGUCGAGGGGCAGCAUGGUCUUAGCUUGCUAAGACUGAUGGCGACCGGCGCACGGGUGCGUAACGCGUAUGCAACUUGCCUCACAGAGGGGGAUAACCCGUCGAAAGACGGACUAAUACCGCGUACACUCUAUUUUGGGCAUCCAAGGUAGAGGAAAUGAAAUUCGCUGUGAGAUAGGCAUGCGUCCCAUUAGCUAGUUGGUGAGGUAACGGCUCACCAAGGCGACGAUGGGUAGGGGAACUGAGAGGUUGAACCCCCACACUGGUACUGAGACACGGACCAGACUCCUACGGCAGGCAGCAGUGAGGAAUAUUGGUCAAUGGGCGAGAGCCUGAACCAGCCAAGUCGCGUGAAGGAUGACUGUCUUAUGGAUUGUAAACUUCUUUUGUAGGGGAAUAAAGAGGGGCACGUGUGCCCCAGUGAAUGUACCCUACGAAUAAGCAUCGGCUAACUCCGUG
rnacentral:rRNA from 1 species